AUGCAACCUUUCAAGGUUCUUGUGUGGAAUGUGCGUGGCUUGAACGCUCCGGCGCGCCAUAAUGCAGUCUUCCAGGUGUGUCUAGCGGCCAAUCCAGGCAUUGUUUGCCCACAGGAGACGAAACUCGAAAAUGUAUCUGCGGCCAUUGUCACCCAAUGUUUGGGCAAUAGAUUUGACCAGUUUUUCUACCUUCCGGCUUCGGGCACGCGAGGCGGCAUCCUCUUGGCUUGGGACCCCCUCAUCGUGCAACUUUCUAACCCCCAUUACACCGAAAACACUGUCACGACUCUUAUUAAGCCUUUAGGCUCCUCUGCCCAGUGGUGGCUCACCAGGGUCUACGGACCACACCAACAUGAGCACAAGGAUGAGUUUCUACAGGAGCUAGCAGAGAUUCGAUACCUGCACGCCGGACCAUGGGCCGCUUUGGGCGACUUCAACCUAAUUGUGAACCCAGAAGACAAGAGCAACAACUCGAUUAACUGA
rnacentral:rRNA from 1 species